rnacentral:rRNA from 1 species
UACAGAGGUGGCAAGCGUUGUUCGGAAUCACUGGGCGUAAAGGGCGCGUAGGCGGGAUGGCAAGUCGGUCGUGAAAUCCUUCGGCUCAACCGAAGAACGUCGGCCGAUACUGCCGUUCUUGAGGGAUGCAGAGGAGAUUGGAAUUCCCGGUGUAGCGGUGAAAUGUGUAGAGAUCGGGAGGAACACCGGUGUCGAAGGCGGGUCUCUGGGCAUCUCCUGACGCUGAGGCGCGAAAGCGUGGGGAGCAAACGGG